UGAGGAAUCUUGCGCAAUGGGGGAAACCCUGACGCAGCAACGCCGCGUGAGUGAGGAAGGUUUUCGGAUCGUAAAGCUCUGUCAGUUGGAAAGAAAUGUCUGAGAGUCAAUACCUUUCAGGCUUGACGGUACCAACAGAGGAAGCACCGGCUAACUCCGUGCCAGCAGCCGCGGUAAUACGGGGGGUGCAAGCGUUGUUCGGACUUAUUGGGCGUAAAGAGCGUGUAGGCGGCCGGACAUGUCAGAUGUGAAAUCCCCGGGCUUUACCCGGUAAGUGCAUUUGAGACUGUCUGGAUAGAGUAGGGGAGAGGAAAGUGGAAUUCCUGGUGUAGAGGUGAAAUUCGUAGAUAUCAGGAGGAUAGCCGGUGGCGAAUGCGACUUCCUGGCCCUAUACUGACGCUGAGACGCGAGAGCGUGGGUAG
rnacentral:rRNA from 1 species